GACUCAAGAGCAUCCAAGGGAAAAAAUCUGGAGAGAAGACUAGCAAGGAGUUUUAAGCUCCUGCCUGCAGUAGAACUGAUGUCCCUUCCCUUAAGCUUAUCAGAAGUUGCUGAUUAGCAUCUUAGGGAAAAGUGGAUGCAGUCCUAAAGGAACCCCUGCAGAAAUGGUGAAUGUCAGUUACCUGCACUGGUCAUUUGGAACCACUGAAAUACUUUUCUGUCAUCAGCCUGGAGCUCAUUCUAAGAGGCAGACCGUCACUCUGAGAUUUUUAGAAGUCAGAAUGAUUCUCAACGUCUUUGAGGCAGCAGCGAGUCCCCCAAUGAAGUGAAGUGGCAAAUCUAGGAUUACUCCAAACCCAAGUAGACAUUUUAAGACACCCUGAUUCACCCUGUGAGUUGUCAUUGGUGGAAGCAAGGCACGUUGAGAGCUGUGAGACAAGUUGAGUCGGGCUGGAAUGACUCAUAAGUGGCAGCUUGCUGGCUGGUGGAAGAGCAUCUUGCUGGGUCCUGUUGCUGUGGAGACGUAGUCAACGAGUCUCAACGUGGGCACAAGUGUCACCUUCCCACUUAGACAGAGGUGAGAACUCUGGGAGUAGGAUGGGGUUGGAGUUUGGGUAGGGGGCAAGGCCCAGGGGUGAGCUGCUUUAGUGAUUACAAGCCAGGGGAGCUCCCAUUCACUCUGAUACAUUUUUCUACUUUGUUAAAUAUUUAUAUUUAAAUAAACGAAAGCCAACAAUCUGUGACCAAUAUGAUCCUGUAUUUACACAUCUUGAUAAGACAAUUUGAACAUGAAAGGAUCAAAAAGAUGCAGUGAAUAAUUCUGUACAGACUAUGCACUAAUUUGAGAAACAGAUCAAUGUCACAUGAAAAUUUU